GAUGAACGCUGGCGGCGUGCCUAAUACAUGCAAGUCGAACGAAACUUCUUUAUCACCGAGUGCUUGCACUCACCGAUAAAGAGUUGAGUGGCGAACGGGUGAGUAACACGUGGGCAACCCGCCCAAAAGAGGGGGAUAACACUUGGAAACAGGUGCUAAUACCGCAUAACCAUAGUUACCGCAUGGUAACUAUGUAAAAGGUGGCUAUACUACCGCUUUUGGAUGGGCCCGCGGCGCAUUAGCUAGUUGGUAGGGUAAAGGCUUACCAAGGCAAUGAUGCGUAGCCGAAUUGAGAGGUUGAUCGGCCACAUUGGGACUGAGACACGGCCCAAACUCCUACGGGAGGCAGCAGUAGGGAAUCUUCCACAAUGGGCGAAAGCCUGAUGGAGCAACGCCGCGUGGGUGAAGAAGGUCUUCGGAUCGUAAAACCCUGUUGUUAGAGAAGAAAGUGCGUGAGAGUAACUGUUCACGUUUCGACGGUAUCUAACCAGAAAGCCACUGCUAACUACGUG
rnacentral:rRNA from 1 species